GACAGAGGGUGCGAACGUUGUUCGGAAUUACUGGACGUAAAGCGCGUGUAGGCGGCAGCGCAAGUCGGGCGUGAAAUCCCACGGCUCAACCGUGGAAGUGCACUCGAAACUGCGCAGCUAGAGUCCUGGAGAGGAAGGUGGAAUGCUUGGUGUAGAGGUGAAAUUCGUAGAUAUCAAGCGGAACACCGGUGGCGAAGGCGGCCUUCUGGACAGUGACUGACGCUGAGACGCGAAAGCGUGGGGAGCAAACAGG
rnacentral:rRNA from 1 species